GACGAACGCUGGCGGCGUGCCUAAUACAUGCAAGUCGAACGGAAAGGCCUGGCUCUUGCAGCGUGCUCGAGAGUCGAACAGGUGAGUAUAACGCGUGUAAAAUGCGCCUGACAUUGGGAUAUCACCAGGAAACUGGGUAGCAUACAGGAUAUGAGCUCCUGCUGCAUGGUGUGGGUUGGAAAGAGUCGGCGGUUGGGGACGGACGGGCGGCUUAGCAGCUUGUUGGUGGGGUGGUGGCGUACCAAGGCUUUGAGGGGUAGCCGGCCUGAGAGGGUGACCGGCCACAUUGGGCCUGGGGUACGGCCCAGACUCCUACGGGAGGCAGCAGUGGGGAAUAUUGCACAAUGGGCGGAAGCCUGAUGCAGCAACGCCGCGUGCGGGAUGACGGCCUUCGGGUUGUAAACCGCUUGCGCCUGUGACGAAGCGUGAGUGACGGUAAUGGGUAAAGAAGCACCGGCUAACUACGUG
rnacentral:rRNA from 1 species